GACGAACGUUGGCGGCGUGCUUAAUACAUGCAAGUCAACUGAAGCAGUGGUAGCAAUAUCGCUGUGGAGGUGGCGCACGGGUGAGUAACACGUAGGUAAUCUGCCUUCAGGUCUGGCAUAACUCCGGGAAACCGGGGCUAAUAGCAGAUGAUGCAGCGGCUCGACAUCGAGACAGUUGUUAAAGCUAUGGCGCCUGAAGAUGAGCCUGCGUCUGAUUAGCUAGUUGGCGGGGUAACGGCCCACCAAGGCAACGAUCAGUAGCUGGUCUGAGAGGAUGAUCAGCCACACUGGAACUGAGACACGGUCCAGACUCCUACGGGAGGAAGCAGUAAGGAAUAUUGCUCAAUGGGAGAAAUCCUGAAGCAGCAACGCCGCGUGAGGGACGAAGGGCUUUUGCUUGUAAACCUCUGUAGUGAGAGAAAAAAAUCCCAAUCUUUGGGACAUGAUGGUAUCUCAAAAGUAAGCCCCGGCUAACUACGUG
rnacentral:rRNA from 1 species